rnacentral:rRNA from 1 species
UACGUAGGGUGCGAGCGUUGUCCGGAAUUAUUGGGCGUAAAGGGCUCGUAGGCGGUUUGUCGCGUCGGGAGUGAAAUCCACUGGCUUAACUGGUGGCUUGCUUUCGAUACGGGCAGACUGGAGGUAUGCAGGGGAGAACGGAAUUCCUGGUGUAGCGGUGAAAUGCGCAGAGAUCAGGAGGAACACCCGUAGCGAAGGCGGCACUCUGGGCCGAUACUGACACUGAGGAGCGAAAGCGUGGGGAGCGAACAGG